CCAGGUGAGGUUUUCCAGUAGAAAAAAAUGUAGUGUCUAAAUUACGCUUGAAUAUAUGAAUAUGAAAGUAUUCCAAAAUAUUUUUUAUCAAAUGUGUUUAAUUCUCAGAGGAACUGACACCAUUGAUUUUGGCAACUCAGAAGCAGUUCAAUUACACACACAUCUGUGCUGGAGCAUCUGCCUUCGGAAAGAACCUUUUGCCCAGAGUAGCGGCCAAACUUGAGGUUGCCCCGAUUUCUGACAUCAUUGCAAUCAAGUCACCUGACACAUUUGUGAGAACUAUUUAUGCAGGAAAUGCUCUAUGUACAGUGAAGUGUGAUGAGAAAGUGAAAGUGUUUUCUGUCCGUGGAACAUCCUUUGAAGCUGCAGCAACAAGUGGCGGUAGUGCCAGUUCAGAAAAGGCAUCAAGUACUUCACCAGUGGAAAUAUCAGAGUGGCUUGACCAGAAAUUAACAAAAAGUGAUCGACCAGAGCUAACAGGUGCCAAAGUGGUGGUAUCUGGUGGUCGAGGCUUGAAGAGUGGAGAGAACUUUAAGUUGUUAUAUGACUUGGCAGAUCAACUACAUGCUGCAGUUGGUGCUUCCCGUGCCGCUGUUGAUGCUGGCUUUGUUCCCAAUGACAUGCAAGUUGGACAGACGGGAAAAAUAGUAGCACCAGUAAGUAUUGCAAUAAAAUAUGCUGUGUAAAAUGUUAUGGGGGAUAAGUACUGUAUGUAUUUGUUGAACAGUGAUCUCAGUGAUUUACCUUACUCAGUGUUCCUGAGCAGUUAGCCAGUACCAUGGUGAAUAUGUCAUUUUCACAAGGUCUGUGUAGUUCUUUGUCUCAGUAAAAUGCCCAGCAGUUCUUAAAUCCAGCUUAUUUUUCAAGUAUUUUAAAGCAGUGGAACAUUUUAU
rnacentral:sRNA from 1 species